UCUUGCCAACAGGAUGCACAGGAAAUGCCAGUGUUCUAAUGCCAACCGCUCCCCACCCCUCAGGAAACCCUGCCACUGAUCUCAGAAAAAGUCCAGGCUUGCCUGCUGGCAGAUGAGUGACUUCAUGGCACAGAGUCCAAUCAGUAUUGUCCCACUGAAGCCCCAGAUACAAAGAGCGCUCAGCCAAGGACAGUAGAGUGACCUCACCAAGCCGCAGCUGACCGCAGACAUGCUAGUUCUGGACCUUCCAUCUGUACGUGUUCACAUGAUGGCUGGUAGGCAUCCAACACCACAUGGCCACAGAAUCUUCUCUUCACCUGAAAAGCUGAUAGAAAAGGGGAACUAGCAUUCACCAGCUUUUCUUUGGUUUGUGAAAGAGAAGAACUGCUUACAUAAUUAAAUUUGUUUUGCCAUUUUUAAUCUUAUUACUCCAAAAGAUCCACUUCAAAUCCUGCUUUACACCUAAAAUUGUGUGAUAUUUUAGAAUAGCAGAGGUAAUCCUUGGAGGAAGACAUAAAAAAAUGAUAGGUUUUCUGUAGAUUACCUAAUCAUUUUCCAAACAGUAUAGAAAAUAAUUUGUAAACUACCACUUAUAAGGACAUGCAUCUUGGAAUCACUUACAUGAAGCGUUUCCUAAGCAAAUUAUUGGUACACGUGUAUGAGAUUAAUAUGAAGUUUAAAAGAUAUGUUGCAUGUUAUAAAUAGGCUGCUACAGUAUGCACCUAUUACUUCAAGAAAGACGCCACUGAAAGCAAAUUUCAUUGUAUUGAAAUGGGACCACCUCUUUUCUGACCCAUGCUGGGUGUAUAGGACUACGCUGCUUCCUUCUCCAGGAAAUGAUGCAAAAAUUAUUACUGUUAGAGACAAAAGGAUGAUUUUUUUUCCUGGAAAAAUGAUACUUGUUCAACUUGGGAUUCUGUGUCAGAUUAUAUAUACAGAUUCUCAGUUCCUCAGAGGCAAAGCUCCUGUGGAUCCAAUUUCUUUAAAGCCUCUCUAGAUCACUGCUAUCUGUCCAGUUGAUACAACUCCCUGGGCCAGGUGCCUCCCCAGCCAGCAUCCUCAGCCCAAACACAAAAGAAGGUGGCAGGUAUCUAUUGUUAGGUCUCAUCUCAGCCAUUCACCAAGAAACCUACAAGAAUAAGAAAGGAAUGAGUUCUGACUUGGGGAGGUUGGAAUGGUUCAGAUGAGUAAACAGUAAUCAUUAUUCAAACCAGCUGCUCAAAAGUUCUCUGGGGAAUUUCUCUUUUUCGUAAUAUUUGCAAUGCUUAGAGAGAAGGGUAUAGCCUAUUCUAGGUUACAGCUUCCCACUGUAUACUUUAUGAAAAAGACUGUAUAUAUAUUUAUGUAUGUAAAUAAAAAUCUAUCUUAGGGUAAAGCAAGAAGAGAGGGAGGAGUCAGGUUUAUUUUGUGGUUAGUCUGAGGAAAGAAUGGAGAAGCCCGCAUUGUUUUCUCCACAAUGGCAGAUCACGUUGUAAUGUCUGAGAAAUGAAAGGUUUCUCGGUGUCUAUUACUAAUGACCGUGCUCGGUCUCAUGGUCUCAUGGCAGCAAAGCCAGUUUCCAUUCCUUUAAUAACGCUGAGCUGAAUAAACUCCAAAUCCGAAAUAUAAGGGUGAUUGAAGAUUACUUUGGUCAAUGAAAAAAUAUUUUAUAGGAAAGUUAUUAUACUAGUAAAGAGAAAAGGAAUUUUUCUUCAAGAACAUGACUACACUGAAUAUUUCUUAGAAACCUAUUUCAAAAGUAGAGUAGGUAAUUCACUUUUUUCAUUUCCUAUUAAGCUUUUUUAAAGCUUUUGCUGAAACAUUUCUAAAUGGGGGAAAAAUAACAAAGGUCAUACAGUCUCAGUUAAAAAAGGUGAUUAUGUGUGGAUUAGCACAUUUUGAAGAAAAAAUGGUGCUUCCUAUAUUUGCUGCAUUUUAGUAUAAGUCAAAUUUAAUUAGCUGAGUUAUGAAGCAGUAUCAAAAAUUCUUUUGCUGCAGUAUUAGGCGUGAAAUGUCUUUAUGGGAUUAUUGUAAGCCUCGUUUACAUUUAUCAGCUUGUCAUUCUUUUAAAAAGUGCUUUGGAAGACAGCACCAAUUAAAAAAUUCAGUGGGGCUGAAACCCAAAGAGCAAUGUGGAGCAAUUACACAGGAGGAGCUCAUGCAUGUCUUCCAGAAGACCCUCAUGUUACUUCAAAAUUUCUCACACAAUGUGUAUGAAGUUGAUUUUUACAGGUAAAUACCUGUUCUUUAAAAUACAUAAGUAGAACUCCGUGAUUUUGCCAAAGGUUCCGCUUAACUUGGGGAGGUCUUGUCUUAAAAGUAAGCUCAGCACUUCAGAAUCCAUUGGUUGGCCAAUUAUUUUAAGUCCUCAACCUCAUUUAAGAUUGAGCACUUAGCUCUUCGCAGUCAUACAGUCAAAAAGGAUUUACCUGGUUCUGAUUAUUUAAUAAGUCAGCAUUUGGACUCAGGUGCAUUUGGGAGCACCAUAUUAAAGGACUUCCAAGUUCUAACAUCCUUCAAGUCGUUUUGUAAGUAAAAGGUGAGGUAUUUCUAGCUCAAUGAAGAAUUUCAAGGAUUGUAAUACAUCAGAAAAAAAAUUAAUUCUAAUAGGAAUGGCCAAUGUGUGUUAUGCAAUUGCAACUGAAUGUUUCCUGAGGCUUUUCUCUUCCAUUACUACUGACAAGGGGAAAUGAGUCUUUGCAGACUUUAAAUUUACAGGGAUAAAGUGAUAUUUCUUACAAACAUUAAGGCUCAUCAUUAGCCAUCAUCCUAAAGGGUAUCCAAAAAGUCAUCGUGUUCUCACAGAGGAUGAUCUCAUCCCAGAAUGUGGAGAUGAAAACAUCUGAAAAAACAGGAUAUAAAUAAUCUUCCUUAUGGCGAGUCACCAAGCAUAGCUUGUUAUGAACUACUGUGAAAUACAUAUGUGUUUAGAUAGCUGUGUCACCACUAGGGGUAGAUGACUCGGUGAUUUUCAAAUUUUGUUCAGCCUGAAGAGUUUCAGGUGCGCUCUGGGGGCAUGUAGGGAGUGAUGCAAAGAGGUGCUAAUAUGGGGACCUGGGAAGGUGCACUGCAGGGAAAUGACAGGGAGGCAUCUUCUGGACAGGGGUACCCCAGACCCUCUUCAGCCUUCCUGAAGCACAGGAAGACAGCUUGGUUUUACACACAGGGUUUCUGCAGAGGAUUUUAUUUGAGAAGAUACUUCUGCUAUUAGAAAUAAUGAAAACCACCCCCUGGGAAGCCAUCUGGCCCAAACCUUCAUGAAACUUCUAGUUCAACAUGGCAUUUGGAACACAGGUAUCUGUUGACAUUCUCUUCUAAAAUCCUGGUGAAAUAAUAUUAGAGGAAGAAAAAAAAGUAUAACUCUCCAUGGACAAAGAAAAAGGUAUAAUUUCUCCAAGGACAAAGAAAGUGGAAUCAGAGACAACAGCACACAAGAGAGCGUGAAAAAAUGUUGGAAGAUAAAAUGCAGAUGGGUGAGGGGUGUUUGACCUAACAUUUCAAUUUACUGGGUGCUUGCAGGGUGGCUGGUUGGGG